AGAUUGAACGCUGGCGGCAUGCCUUACACAUGCAAGUCGAACGGCAGCACGGGAGCAAUCCUGGUGGCGAGUGGCGAACGGGUGAGUAAUAUAUCGGAACGUGCCCAGUCGUGGGGGAUAACGUAGAGAAAUUUACGCUAAUACCGCAUACGAUCCAAGGAUGAAAGCGGGGGACCGUAAGGCCUCGCGCGACUGGAGCGGCUGAUAUCAGAUUAGCUUGUUGGUGAGGUAAAAGCUCACCAAGGCGACGAUCUGUAGCUGGUUUGAGAGAACGACCAGCCACACUGGGACUGAGACACGGCCCAGACUCCUACGGGAGCAGCAGUGGGAAUUUGGACAAGUGGCGAAAGCCUGAUCCAGCAAUGCCGCGUGCAGGAAGAAGGCCUUCGGUUGUAAACUGUCUUUGUACGGAGACGAAAAGGUCU
rnacentral:rRNA from 1 species